rnacentral:rRNA from 1 species
CCUACGGGGGGCUGUAGUCGAGAAUCAUUCACAAUGGGGGAAACCCUGAUGGUGCGACGCCGCGUGGGGGAAUGAAGGUCUUCGGAUUGUAAACCCCUGUCAUGUGGGAGCAAAUUAAAAAGAUAGUACCACAAGAGGAAGAGACGGCUAACUCUGUGCCAGCAGCCGCGGUAAUACAGAGGUCUCAAGCGUUGUUCGGAAUCACUGGGCGUAAAGCGUGCGUAGGCUGUUUCGUAAGUCGUGUGUGAAAGGCGCGGACUCAACCCGCGGACGGCACAUGAUACUGCGAGACUAGAGUAAUGGAGGGGGAACCGGAAUUCUCGGUGUAGCAGUGAAAUGCGUAGAUAUCGAGAGGAACACUCGUGGCGAAGGCGGGUUCCUGGACAUUAACUGACGCUGAGGCACGAAGGCCAGGGGAGCGAAAGGGAUUAGAUACCCUAGUAGUC